GAGUGAACACACGACGAAGGAAGGCACGGCGUCCGCCGCGCGCGCACGCGCCUGCCACUCACACGCAAGGGCGCAAAAAAAAAAAAAAAAAAAAAAAAAAAAAAAUCCUCACGGCAAGUUCCAAACGUUAACUUCACCUGGGAACUCAAAGACACGGCAGCGCGAGCGCCUCGCACAGUGGAACGUAAACAGAACGUGUUUUUAACUUUGGGACGCUCGCGGAGUCACGUGGGUGGCGAACGGGCAAGCGCAUUGGCUGACGCGGGAGCAGGAAGUUGUCCGCCUCAGCCAAUCGGGUGCCGAGCCUCGUCCGCGCGAGCGUGAUGUUCGUCGAGUCCCCAGAUGAGUUAAAAAUAAAAGUGGCCAAAAAAUGUUGAGGCGACGGGAUCGCGGCGAUUGUGUUAUUGCACGUGAAGCUGCGUUAUGACCCUCCCCCCCCCCCCCCCCCCAGUUGAGUGUCUCCUGGCUGGAUGUUUACGCUAUAUGUCAUGAUUAUUUUAUUCGUGGCGUCUCCUCCAACACAUUUCCUGUGUCUUACUUACUCGUAGAAGUACAGGUACACGUACAGGUACAGGUACACGUGUGACUCAAGUGCUGUUCCAUUUAUGUUCCAGCCCUGAAGGUGCCCCAGAUAUUUAUUGAUUAUUUAAUCUUUAUUAUUUAGUUAUUAUGCUGAAUGGCAGUAUACCCCACCCGCCCAGUGUUUCAAAUUUCAGUCAUUUAAAUCAUUCAUCCAAGCUGGAGCCCUACAGUCCACCCUGAAGGAAAUAACUUCUGCAGCAUCCGCAUCUCAGCGAGGGGAGGCGGACGGUGCCCUGCUCUGCCCAUGAGGACCGCUGGGUGAUGCCCGAGGAGCACGAAAAAUCCCUGCUGCUGGAUCCAAACACACAAAGCAGGAUUUCCAGUUCACACACUUCCGCAAAGCAGCACUCGAGUGGGAGUCUGAGAAGGAGAGGUCGAGUGGUCGAGAGGAGGCGAACAGGGGAAGCUGGACGGAUCAUCCUGUGGAAAACUCGAGGCGACAGAGCGAAGUAG
rnacentral:lncRNA from 1 species